rnacentral:rRNA from 1 species
CCUACGGGAGGCAGCAGUGGGGGAUAUUGCACAAUGGGGGAAACCCUGAUGCAGCGACGCCGCGUGGGUGAAGAAGUAUUUCGGUAUGUAAAGCCCUAUCAGCAGGGAAGAAAGAAGACGGUACCUGACUAAGAAGCCCCGGCUAACUACGUGCCAGCAGCCGCGGUAAUACGUAGGGGGCGAGCGUUAUCCGGAUUCACUGGGUGUAAAGGGAGCGUAGACGGCCGUGCAAGCCAGGAGUGAAAGCCCGGGGCCCAACCCCGGGACUGUUCUUGGAACUGUGCGGCUGGAGUGCGGGAGGGGCAGGCGGAAUUCCUGGUGUAGCGGUGAAAUGCGUAGAUAUCAGGAGGAACACCGGCGGCGAAGGCGGCCUGCUGGACCGCGACUGACGUUGAGGCUCGAAAGCGUGGGGAGCGAACAGGAUUAGAUACCCCAGUAGUC